GGUGUUUCUCUCUCAUCAUGUGGAAUCUGUGUGCAAUGGAAGCAUCCUGAAAGCGGAAGAGAAGAAGGCAAGACGCUUGGUGAAGUGGACUGGAGAUGUGAGCCGUGCAGGAACGAAAGAGCCAAUUCAGUUUUGGACAAACAGCGGAAGCAUCAGAGAAAGCGCAGCAGAGCCUGCUUUCACCUGGCUACAGAUCUAUAGCUACACGCUGGCCAGACAGGGAUGGCUGAAGAGGGACGUACAGCGCCCAGGACGGCAGCUAUGUAGACCUUUGUGUUCACGGCUCCUGUGGGUGAUGGAGAGGGGAUCCAGCAAGUAGCCCACACGCAGUCGCCUGCCCUCCGAAGGCUCCACCCUCCUCCCACCGCUGCUCCAGAGCUGUGACAGGAGCAGGAGCAGGAGCAGGAGCAGGAGCAGGAGCAGGAGCAGGAGCAGGAGCAGGAGCAGGAGCAGGAGCGGAGCGGGGGUGGCUGCCGGCAGGGCCGUGUCCAUGGAAACCAGUGCGCUGCGGGGAACGGGAGAGGCGGCCGCAGCAGGUGCGUCCUGACCCCUCCUGCAGGUCCUCGCGGGCCCUGGGGCUGCGCCUUUCCUGCCCAGCCCCGGUUUGGCCCUGGCCCACUCGUGACUUCUCUCGCCCUUUCGUCUCCCACCUCUGGGCUCUCAGAAAUCCCAUCGUCUCCACCCUCAGAGAUGUCCAGAAUUGGGCACUUCUGGCCGCCCACGGUUUCCGCUGCGGCCCAUCCUGAUCGCCUCGGCCCUGGAAGGCUGCAGUGGCCUCCUACCGGCUUUCCUGCUUCUGCCCUUGUCUCUUGGUCUGCCGUGCUCCUCCUUUGCUGACGUCUUGGGAUCUCCCAGAACAGAAGCCAUGGCCUGUGUAAUGGCCUCCUGACCUGGCCCCUCACUACCUCUGCUUCACCCCGUGAGCUUCCUGCAUGGACUCUGCCCUAGCCACACUGAGCUGCCUUCGGGACCCAGGGCCUCUGCACCUGCCGUUUCCGUCUCCAUGCACACCACCGGG